rnacentral:lncRNA from 1 species
UGCCUCCCAAGUCAGCAAAACUAAGCAGCCUCUUACUAUUUCCUGAUUCAAAGUGCUCCUUUCCUUCUCUACUUUUGAACGGAGCCAAGUUAUUCACUAGCAAAGAGAAAUAAAAAGGGAAAGAGUAGCCCAGACUGAGCAUAUGCCGUGUUUCAACAGGAACCCCCCAAACGUCAUCUCUCUGAAGAAAAGUGUUGCAAGUGAGGGAUUUUCGAGUGUUGUGCAAAUUCCAGGAAUCUUAGGCAAGCUGUGCAGUUUCGAUUCUAGGGUGUGUUAACUCAUACCGGAAAUACACAGGCAGUGACCUACUUCUUUUCCAAUGGAUUUGUUUCUGGUUCAAGCUGUGCUCUGUAAAAUGGUUCGUUUUCAGAAAAGACGCCAAGUCCUCUUUUGGAGGAUGACAAAGGCUUUAAAAUUUCAACCCAAAUCAUCAUCAUGGGAAAAUCGUGUUUCAAAUCAAGGACUUUGUUAUUGAACAUAGUCCGCUCUUAAAAUGUUUAAUCAAUCACUACCUUUCUUUUAAAAAUGAUUCUCGAAAGGAAAUGUUGUCAAGUGGAGGGUAUGUUAAGCGUCUUUAAUAAGUGGCAUCUAAAGGCAACUCCAAGAGUUGAUUUAAACAGUCAUUACUCAAAGCUGCUAAAUGUCAGAAUUCUAUAUAGGAGUCUUUUGUAGCACAUUGACAUCAAGUAUAAUUAAUAUUUGUGCUUUUUAUUAGAAAUAAGGGAUAAGGGCUUACUUGGAUCUGUGAUUCAUUAGUACAGGGAAUGCCUGGAUGAGAAAACGCUCUCUAAAUUAAUGCAAAAACAAACAAAACCAGAAACAAUUAGAGAGAAUAAGAAAAGAAGACCCAGAAAGGAGGAAGUAGGAAAGCAUGGAGAUGCUAGGAAUAAGGUUGUUCAAAAAGGAAAAAGAGAAAAACAGGUAAGAGGGAUCUUUUUCUUUUUAGUGAUUGGAAGAGUAAUGAAGAAAAACCAAAAAGAAUCACAAUCAAGCAAUUUGCCACAGUUCAUGAGACAUUUAGAAAGCACCAAUGAGAUAGGUGUGGACUGCUACACUGCUCAAAACAAAGUAGAUACACUGAUGGAAAAUUGAAUUGUCUGGAAAAUUCAGAGCCCUUUAUAAAGGAAAGCUUCAUAAA